ensembl:lncRNA novel transcript
UAAAUAGAAAGACAUUUAAUGUGCAUGAUCAUAAAAUCUCAAUAUUGUCAAGAUAUAAUUUCUCCCCAAUUUGAGUUAUAGGCAAGAGAGUCACAUCAUCUAGGUGAUUGGCCAAACAUAUGUCACAAUCCCUUCCAUUGACAGCUCCCAAAAAAGGAGUUACAUCACCUAGGUGCUCAGCUCUGAGAUGUGUCACAACAUUGCCCAAUACAGGCAGGCCACAGGCGGGAGAGUCACAUUUCCUGGGUGCUUGGCCCAGUGGUAUGUCACAUUUCCUUAUGUAGGAAGGGCACACGUAGCAAGAGAGAGUCACAUUACCUAGGUACUGUGCUAGAGCUAUCAGUCUCUGUGUCGUUCAAUGUGAGAGUUAUGAUCUCUUUAGACAUCCAUGUAACAGAGCCUCAACUCCUUCAUCCUCAGAUGUAAAGGCUAGUGAAGACCAAAUAAGCCUUGAAAGGUAAUUCCCCUAAAAAGGCAGAAUGUCUUAGGCUUUGGCCUCUCCCCUUCAAGCACAAUGAGAUCAUAACCUCUCUUUUGACUUCUCACUAUGCCCAGCACUGGAACAAAGCUCCUGACUCCACACCCUCACCUUUCCACCCUUGUGCCUUCACUGGGCAGACAAGAGAUGAGAAGACCUGAACUCUGGGACAGUCUGGGGAGAAAAGAAUCCAAAAAGGGUUGAGGCGGCAAGGGCUGAGCUCCCACGGGUGCCCCGGCCCAAAGGUGCAGGUCCAGGCUGUUUUCCAGGUGGCAUUCAGUGCAGGUUCUUCAAUGCCACUGGAAGGCAUGAAAAACCCACUGUAGCUGCUGCUGCUUCCUUUUCUUAAGCUGUGAAAAUGCAAACACUUUUUCAAGGUUUUCAGAUAUGCCCAGGUACCCCCAACUGAAAAGGAGGAUAAUGGCAUUGUUCAUCAUGGCUUAUUGUCUUGCCCAGGCAGGAGCCAGCCCCUGACUCGCCAAUCCAGCUGCCCCAGGCUGGAGGUGAUCCUUUCGAGCCUCCUCCCUGCAACUCCACUCCUCUUUUUUCUCUUCCUCAACCACCGGCAUACUUUUGGUCAUCCUCCUUGUUGUCACAAUGGGGGCGUGAUGCCAUAAAGACCUGGGAACCCCAAUGAUCUCAGGUCCCGCAGGGGUCAGGUGAGCAUAUAGGAAGUCCAGAAGGACAGUCAUCUGCCACCUCCAGUUGAAAAAGAACAAAACCCUCGCACUCCAGAAAUGAGUCAAGAACCCAGCGAAGGCCACAGGUCUAGCCCACAACCACCUAGGUAUGUGGGGUCCUCCAAGGCUCACGCUUGUGUCCUGCAGGCUGGAGCCCAUGCGAGGGUCUGCAGUCUUUGUUCCGGAUGGGGAACUACUGCUUCAGCUGGUUACCCAGGUGUCCCCGAUGGGGAAAGGAAGGAAAUGGUGAGAAUCUUCAGCACAACGGAUCACAUCACCCUGGCAGAGACCAGUCCGGCCUGCGCAUGGCACCAGCAGCCGCAGGCUAGAGGCAGUCAUGUCAGGCCUCCUCCAUACAGCAUCUCUCCUGCUUUUUUUUCAAACGGCCCUAAUCACUUAAUUUGGUCAUCUUCCCUGUCACAAUGGGGCACCUGGCGCUAUAGACACUUGGGAAACACACAGAUCUGGGGUCCUACAGUGUCCAGGUGAAGACGCCGGGAGUCAGAGAGGAAAGUCUUUUGAAGCCUCCAAAAGGAAUGCACAGGACCCCACUUGAAGAGGUGGAGUGCCCAGUGGCGGAUACAGGCCCCACACAUCGCAGCAGUAAACAGGGACUCCACGGUGUCCAGCUCUCCAGCCUGGGGUUUCUCAUCACCCAGUGAUUCCAAAAGAAACGAUCUACAAUGGCAUGACUAAGUUCCAGAAACAAAUAAACAAAAUACUGAGGGAAGCCCGUUGGUCACUUUGAUUCUUCAAAGGUGACAAUUGUCCCUCCCUGAAAUCUUGUGAGUGCAUGAACAGGCUAUUCUAAUGUAAAUGAAAUUCACACUAAAACUGAUUGAAAGAUGAUUCUGUUUCCAAGGUACUUUGUAUUCUCAAAUUGCACCUGCUUACCCUGGCCCCCUCAAAAUGGAAGAGUGAUGACUAUUUGUCUUCGUAGCACUGUGGGGACACAGAGCCUUAAAUGGAAGAGUGUCAAAAGCAACAUUCCAUAAAGGGCUGUCACUUCCAAUUUUCAAGCAAGGUUGGAAACCAACCAUGAUGUAUGAAACACUGUUGGCCAAAGUGCACAAUUAGUAAUACAAAAUGAAUAAUAUAAACUAUUGUAAAUAUGUGUGGACAUCGUGGCAAUUUGGACAUCAAAAAACACUGCCAAAUUCAGAAAGAGGAAGCUGUAAACUCAUGGCUGUUAGGAAGCUUAACUUCUGUGUACUAGAACCUAUCAAAAUUAAAUUUCUCCAUGUCAAUCCGUCCAAACAAACAUUGAGAUGUUUAUUUCUAUAUAAUUCCUAUUGAAUCCUACUGGGCAGGACCCUUCUGGCCCCAUC